rnacentral:misc_RNA from 1 species
UGGUUUUGGACCCGUGUCUGCCGGUUGAUCCCCCGUCUUUGUGCGGCUGACUACCGGCGCUGGUCCCGUCCCGUCAGUUCUGUGGCUUAUGUUACUGUUGCCUUUCAAGUGCUUGCGUGCUGGUACCCGAACUUCGGGUAGUGGUGCGUUGUAUUCGGUCGCCUCGCGGUGGCCGCCUUCGGGUGUGCUGCUACGGCCUAAUGGCGCUUGCGGCGUUUCCUCGUUGUGCUGGCAUGGUUAUUUGCCGGUGCUAUCAAGGCAACCUCGCUCCCGCCGUUGGUCUCGGAUGUUGCCUACAAUGAAGUCUCUUGGCCCAUUUAAGUUGCCUUGUCCCGACCCUAAGAAGCUCUCCGAAUUGAGAACAACCGGAACAGGUGUUGCCUCUACCUCUCCACAGUUAGUGGUAGGAUUACGCAACAUUCUGUGCCGAUCCUCAAACCAGUAGGAACGAGCUUGGCCCGCUCAUUUGCGACAACCGGCCCGGCCGUUGCCUAUGCCUUGACACGUAAGUGGAUUGGCGGACAACUUCCGAUGCUGGAUGUCAAAGAGGACG